UUCAUAAGAUUUUUUUACAACUCACAACUUUAUAUUUAAGUCAUACAAGUAAUAAAACAAUUAAUAUUUAAUAUUAACUAAAAUAGCGGAGGUACCAUGGCCUCCACCGGCACCCACCUGCGGGUGUUCUUGCACAACAAUAACAUACAAUACAGUUUUGAAUCAGAGCUUCCUGACCGCAACUAUCAGAAAUUUAAAACUCCAUAAAAGGCUGAAACUCCAUGGUUCGUACUCCGGGCUCAUACUAAUCCAUUGUCCAUUAGGUACUAUAUGCAUCAGUCAUACCCAUAGAUAAUGUAUUAUCUAUGCUCAUACCACAGUCACUGUAAUGUUAAUCACUGUGAUUAUCUCCGAUGCCUUAUCGUAAU